rnacentral:rRNA from 1 species
AACGAACGCUGGCGGCAUGCCUAACACAUGCAAGUCGAACGAGACCUUCGGGUCUAGUGGCGCACGGGUGCGUAACGCGUGGGAGCCUGCCCUUAGGUUCGGAAUAACUCCCCGAAAGGGGUGCUAAUACCGGAUAAUGUCUUCGGACCAAAGAUUUAUCGCCUUUGGAUGGGCCCGCGUUGGAUUAGCUAGUUGGUAGGUUAAAAGCCUACCAAGGCGACGAUCCAUAGCUGGUCUGAGAGGAUGAUCAGCCACACUGGGACUGAGACACGGCCCAGACUCCUACGGGAGGAAGCAGUGGGGAAUAUUGGACAAUGGGCGAAAGCCUGAUCCAGCAAUGCCGCGUGAGUGAUGAAGGCCUUAGGGUUGUAAAGCUCUUUUACCCGGGAUGAUAAUGACAGUACCGGGAGAAUAAGCUCCGGCUAACUCCGUG